rnacentral:rRNA from 1 species
GUAAGGAAUAUUGGUCAAUGGAGGCAACUCUGAACCAGCCAUGCCGCGUGCAGGAAGACGGCCCUCUGGGUUGUAAACUGCUUUUAUCUGGGAAUAAACCUGCUUACGUGUAAGUAGCUGAAUGUACCAGAAGAAUAAGGAUCGGCUAACUCCGUGCCAGCAGCCGCGGUAAUACGGAGGAUCCAAGCGUUAUCCGGAUUUAUUGGGUUUAAAGGGUGCGUAGGCGGCCUGUUAAGUCAGGGGUGAAAGACGGUGGCUCAACCAUCGCAGUGCCCUUGAUACUGAUGGGCUUGAAUGGACUAGAGGUAGGCGGAAUGAGACAAGUAGCGGUGAAAUGCAUAGAUAUGUCUCAGAACACCGAUUGCGAAGGCAGCUUACUAUGGUCUUAUUGACGCUGAGGCACGAAAGCGUGGGGAUCGAACAGGAUUAGAAACCCCGGUAGUCC